UGAGGAUUCUGUAGCCUGUGGCUCCCAAG
rnacentral:piRNA from 1 species